AUUGAACGCUGGCGGCAUGCCUUACACAUGCAAGUCGAACGGCAGCACGGGAGCAAUCCUGGUGGCGAGUGGCGAACGGGUGAGUAAAGUAUCGGAACGUGCCCAGUCGUGGGGGAUAACGUAGCGAAAGUUACGCUAAUACCGCAUACGAUCUAUGGAUGAAAGCGGGGGAUCGCAAGACCUCGCGCGAUUGGAGCGGCCGAUAUCAGAUUAGGUAGUUGGUGGGGUAAAGGCCCACCAAGCCGACGAUCUGUAGCUGGUCUGAGAGGACGGCCAGCCACACUGGGACUGAGACACGGCCCAGACUCCUACGGGAGGCAGCAGUGGGGAAUUUUGGACAAUGGGCGAAAGCCUGAUCCAGCCAUGCCGCGUGCAGGAUGAAGGCCUUCGGGUUGUAAACUGCUUUUGUACGGAACGAAAAGGACUGCCCUAAUACGGUGGUCCCAUGACGGUACCGUAAGAAUAAGCACCGGCUAACUACGUGCCAGCAGCCGCGGUAA
rnacentral:rRNA from 1 species